GCUGUGGGGAUGUAAAGGUGAUGCCCAGGGCCGGCAGCCUAUUGAAGUAAAAGCGUCCCUCAGCCCCGGUGAAGCCCAGCCCCAGGAGCGGAUGUGGGGACAGACCCUGAGAUCCUUGUGGCAAGGAUAUUACCUUUUUCUUUGUCUCCCCAGCAUUCAGCGAAAUGUUUGACACACAGUAGUCCAAGCUGCAUCACGGGCUAACGGGAUGAGUCCUCGUUGAGAUCAUGGAGCUGCAGACUGCUUGAGGACUGAGCUCAGGAUCUGCAAAUAGGACCCUGCUCAAGGCUUGGCUUAUGGACUCACUUUUACCCGCUAUUCCGAAUAUCAUGUGCAGGAACCCCGUACACAAAGCCUUCAACGUAUUCAUGCUAAUUCCAUACCAAAAAAUAAAAAUUAAA